CAACAAGCUCCCAACAAUGUUGUGAUUAAAUUCGACUGAUAAAUUAAAUGCCAUUUAUAUAUUCUUAUAUUUCAUUAAUUAAAGCAAAAUAUUUUAAUUGUUCUAGGAGGUUCAUGUAGAACCCGAGUCCUAAAAACCUUGGCGAAGAAUGUGGUACAUUGAGUGAUGCAGAAAAAGAUUUUGAAAUUGACUAUGUACAUGAUUCUGUUGGCUCAGCUAUUCCUGUGCCAUCAAGUCCUGCUGCUGUGUUCAAUUUUAGUGAUAAUCUCUCACCAAUUUUCAAAGAGUCACCAUGUAAGGGCUCAGCAGGAAAUAACCCAGGUACUCUUGGUGAUAUUGUCCAAAAUCUCAUCACAGCCUUCAAAAGUGUAGCAUGUCCCAAAGAUUAAAGGAACAAUUAUUGAACUAUUUAUAAAAGCUUUUUUUAUUGAGCUUGGAGGCAUGCAUGGCUUUAUACCAAUUUGUGCAGGCAGAUUUUCUGGACAAAAGUUUAAAUGCCAUGAAAACAUUGCAAGAGGGCAAGAACUUGCUUUAUGGUAUGUCAUGGUGCUUUGAGAGAUGAGAAGAUGGCACACCUGAGUGGCUUUGCCACCAGUGCCAAAACAUAUGUGAGCACAUUGGUCAAAUUUAGAAAAAUUUCUCCCACUCAUGCGGGCUCGUAUUGCCAGCGGACAUUCUCCUCCGCAGAGGCUUUGUAGUUUGUUUUCUUUCUAUAUAAGUUUGACUUGCGAGCAGUAGCGGCUCCAAAUGUCCAUGAUGCCCCCUUUUAACCCCACGCUUGCUCCCCUGUGUGCCGCCACUUCUCUACCUAGCCCACUACUGCCCGCAAGUCAAACUUAUAGAAAGAAAGAAAACAAACUCAUUCUCAUAGAAAGAAAACAAACUACAAAGCCUCUGCGGAGGAGAGUGGUCAGCGGACAUCUUACAGAAAGUGGGCAGUUCUGUGCACAGUACACACAGUACAUAACCUUAUGCACAUAUUUGUAAAUAACAAAUAAUAAUGAAUAUAGUCAUUCAUAUUUAUAAACACGUUAAAAACAGACAAGUUAAUUUACUUUACAAAUGUUGAUUUUUUAAUAAGAUGGGUUGCAUCAAACCAGUUCUACUCAGUAUAUUUUAUGCAUUUACAUAUAGCAGACUUGCUAGCUUUGACCACAUUAGGAUGCCAUGAACCUUUUUUGGAUAUGUUAAUUGUGUGAUAAAAUCCAAUUCGCAUAAAAGUUGUAUGUAGUUUGAUGUAUUUUAUAGACACAUCAAAGCUAGGGCCGUUCAUAUGGGGGCUAAUAUACUGUGUCAGUUCACUUGCAAUCAGGGACGCCGGAACGAUAAAAAGGCAAGGGGGGGGGCAAACGCACACCAAAGGGCACCUCUGUAAACCUCGGUGAAGAUAUAAACCUACAAUUAUGUGUUGACUUGCCAAUGAAAGCAAAUGCACUUAAUCAGGUCACAUUCAAGAUCACACCUCAUGAUUUUGCCCAUGCAAAAAGCAUCACUGGAAACAUG